UUGGAGGAAAGCAGGGGAUCGCAAGACCUUGCGCUUUUGGAGUGGCCGAUGCCUGAUUAGCUAGUUGGUGGGGUAAGAGCCUACCAAGGCGACGAUCAGUAGUUGGUCUGAGAGGACGACCAGCCACACUGGGACUGAGACACGGCCCAGGCUCCUACGGGAGGCAGCAGUGGGGAAUUUUGGACAAUGGGCGAAAGCCUGAUCCAGCAAUGCCGCGUGAGUGAAGAAGGCCUUCGGGUUGUAAAGCUCUUUCAGUCGAGAAGAAAAGGUCGCGACUAAUAAUCGCGACUCAUGACGGUAUCGACAGAAGAAGCACCGGCUAACUACGUGCCAGCAGCCGCGGUAGUACGUAGGGUGCGAGCGUUAAUCGGAAUUACUGGGCGUAAAGGGUGCGCAGGCGGCUUUGUAAGUCAGAUGUGA
rnacentral:rRNA from 1 species